rnacentral:rRNA from 1 species
GACGAAGGAUGCAAGCGUUAUCCGGAUUCAUUGGGUUUAAAGGGAGCGUAGGUGGCCUUAUAAGUCAGUGGUGAAAUCUCUGGGCUUAACCCAGAAAUUGCCAUUGAUACUGUAGGCUUGAGUAUAGAUGCCGUUGGCGGAAUAUGACAUGUAGUGGUGAAAUACAUAGAGAUGUCAUAGAACACCGAUUGCGAAGGCAGCUAACGAAACUAUAACUGACACUGAGGC